rnacentral:rRNA from 1 species
AGGGUUUGAUCCUGGCUCAGAUUGAACGCUGGCGGCAUGCUUUACACAUGCAAGUCGAACGGUAACGCGGGCUUCGGCCUGGCGACGAGUGGCGGACGGGUGAGUAAUGCAUCGGAACGUAUCCAUUUGUGGGGGAUAGCCCGGCGAAAGCCGGAUUAAUACCGCAUAAGCUCUGAGGAGGAAAGCGGGGGACCUUCGGGCCUCGCGCUGAUGGAGCGGCUGAUGUCGGAUUAGCUUGUUGGUAGGGUAAAGGCCUACCAAGGCGACGAUCCGUAGCUGGUCUGAGAGGAUGAUCAGCCACACUGGAACUGAGACACGGUCCAGACUCCUACGGGAGGCAGCAGUGGGGAAUUUUGGACAAUGGGGGAAACCCUGAUCCAGCCAUGCCGCGUGCGGGAAGAAGGCCCUCGGGUUGUAAACCGCUUUCAGACGGAAAGAAAUAGCGCAAGUUAAUACCUUGUGUUGAUGACGGUACCGUCAGAAGAAGCACCGGCUAACUACGUGCCAGCAGCCGCGGUAAUACGUAGGGUGCGAGCGUUAAUCGGAAUUACUGGGCGUAAAGCGUGCGCAGGCGGUUCUCUAAGACAGGUGUGAAAUCCCCGGGCUUAACCUGGGAAUUGCGCUUGUGACUGGAGGACUAGAGUGUGGAAGAGGGGGAUGGAAUUCCUGGUGUAGCAGUGAAAUGCGUAGAUAUCAGGAGGAACACCGAUGGCGAAGGCAGUCCCCUGGGCCAACACUGACGCUCAUGCACGAAAGCUAGGGGAGCAAACAGGAUUAGAUACCCUGGUAGUCCUAGCUGUAAACGAUGGAUACUAGACGUAGGAACUGGAUUGACGGUUUCUGUGUCGUAGCUAACGCGUUAAGUAUCCCGCCUGGGGAGUACGGUCGCAAGACUAAAACUCAAAGGAAUUGACGGGACCCCGCACAAGCGGCGGAGCAUGCGGCUUAAUUCGAUGAUACCCGUAGAACCUUACCUGGACUUGACAUAUAGGGUCAAGCUAUAGAGAUAUAGUGUGCAUUAGCGCCCUAUACAGGUGGUGCAUGGCUGUCGUCAGCUCGUGUCGUGAGAUGUUGGGUUAAGUCCCGCAACGAGCGCAACCCCUGUCCUAUGUUGCCAGCAUUUAGUUGGGGACUCAUAGGAGACUGCCGGUGAUAAACCGGAGGAAGGUGGGGAUGACGUCAAGUCCUCAUGGCCCUUAUGGCCAGGGCUUCACACGUAAUACAAUGGUCGGUACAGAGGGUUGCCAACCCGCGAGGGGGAGCCAAUCCCAGAAAGCCGAUCGUAGUCCGGAUUGUAGUCUGCAACUCGACUGCAUGAAGUCGGAAUCGCUAGUAAUCGCGGAUCAGCAUGUCGCGGUGAAUACGUUCCCGGGCCUUGUACACACCGCCCGUCACACCAUGGGAGUGGGUUUUACCAGAAGUAGUUAGUCUAACCGCAAGGAAGACGAUUACCACGGUAGGAUUCAUGACUGGGGUGAAGUCGUAACAAGGUAGCCGUA